AUUGAACGCUGGCGGCAUGCCUUACACAUGCAAGUCGAACGGCAGCACGGGUGCUUGCACCUGGUGGCGAGUGGCGAACGGGUGAGUAAUAUAUCGGAACGUACCUUAUUGUGGGGGAUAACGCAGCGAAAGCUGUGCUAAUACCGCAUAAUCCCUAAGGGGGAAAGCGGGGGACCGUAAGGCCUCGCGCAAUUAGAGCGGCCGAUACCUGAUUAGCUAGUUGGUGAGGUAAAGGCUCACCAAGGCAACGAUCAGUAGCUGGUCUGAGAGGACGAUCAGGCACACUGGGACGAGGACACGGCCCAGACUCCUACGGGAGGCAGCAGUGGGGAAUUUUGGACAAUGGGGGCAACCCUGAUCCAGCAAUGCCGCGUGAGUGAAGAAGGCCUUCGGGUUGUAAAGCUCUUUUGUCAGGGAAGAAACAGCAGCUCUAACACAGUUUGCGAAUGACGGUACCUGAAGAAUAAGCACCGGCUAACUACGUGCCAGCCGCCGCAGUAA
rnacentral:rRNA from 1 species